UACGUAGGGUGCAAGCGUUGUCCGGAAUUAUUGGGCGUAAAGAGCUCGUAGGCGGUUUGUUGCGUCGGCUGUGAAAUCCCCGAGGCUCAACCUCGGGUCUGCAGUCGAUACGAGCAAACUAGAGUGUUGCAGGGGAGACUGGAAUUCCUGGUGUAGCGGUGAAAUGCGCAGAUAUCAGGAGGAACACCGGUGGCGAAGGCGGGGUCUCUGGGCAACAACUGACGCUGAGGAGCGAAAGCGUGGGGGAGCGAACAGG
rnacentral:rRNA from 1 species